GAUAAACGCUGGCGGCGUGCCUAACACAUGCAAGUCGAACGCCCUUUUGCGCAAGUGAGAGGGAGUGGCGGACGGGUGAGUACCACGUGGGUACCUACCUUGAGGUGAGGAAUACCACCGAGAAAUCGGUGACAAGACCGCAUACGCUUGGCAACAAGCAAAGUCUCGCAAGAGACGCCACAAGAUGGGCCUGCGCCUGAUUAGCUAGUUGGUGAGGUAAUGGCNCACCAAGGCGACGAUCAGUAGCUGGUCUGAGAGGAUGAUCAGCCACACUGGGAUUGAGAACGGCCCAGACUCCGUACGGGGGGCGA
rnacentral:rRNA from 1 species